ACCAUCAUUAAGCUACUGUGGUGGGCGUGUACGAACAGCUCGCUGCUAGCUAAAAUGAUAAAUAACGUUAGUGACUACAGUAAGCUAAAUUUUCUCGUUUGGCUGUUACUUUAUAGCAUAGACUCUGAUAAGGUUAACGCGAAAUGAAACCGUUUUUGCAAGUCUUUACAGAUAAAGCCCUAUAUAGCAUUUGAGCUAGCUAGUUAAUCUUUAAGUUACCAAUAGCUAAGACACACGAGACAGUUGAUUUUAACGGACAACGGUGAUUCAGCGUGCUAGCUAGAAAGAUAAAUCUUGAAAGCCUCAACAUCCAUAACGUAUCAUUCAUUGAUGUUGACGUCCAUCAUUUCAUGUAUAUCGCUUUCGGAUCUCGCCAGUGUUAUCAAUAGUUGGGUUUCUGUCUACCAAGAUGUAUGGGAUGUCGGGAUGACAGGAAGAUGGCAAACGGGGUUGGAAAACACAAGCUGCUUGUCAUUGGACCAACAGAGCCAUGGUCAGUGAGGGAGAAGCUGUGUUUGGCCACAUCUGUCAUGAAGAGUGGCGACCAGAACUGGGUAUCUGUCAGUCGAGCCAUCAAACCAUUUGCAGAACCUGGGCGACCACCUGACUGGUUCUCUCAAAAGCACUGUGCAUCCAAGUACUCUGAGCUCCUGGAAACAACAGAGGCCCCAAAGCGGAAGCGUGGUGAGAAAGGUGAAGUGGUGGAGACAGUGGAGGAUGUGAUAGUACGCAGGCUGACAGCUGACAGGAUUGAUGAACUAAAAAAGUUGAUCAAAGAAACACAGGAGAAGCACAGGAAGCUGAAAAGAGAAGCUGAACUGAUUCAAGCAGGACAUCUAGAUUCAAAACUAGAAGAGUUAUGGGAAGAAAUUCUGCAGAAGAAGAAACUGGAGGAAGAAGCAGAGUUGAAAAGAAAAAACACAGAUGCUACUUAUCAGGCCAGACAGGUGGCAAAGAACACAGCAAAGCGAGUGCCCGGCAUCACCAUGCAUUCGCCCUCAGGCUGUAGCUCCCCAAGCCAGGAGUUCUCACCAGGUGACCCACUCGAGUGCUUGACAUUGGAUCUUGUAUCGACAAAGAAUGCUUCAGGAUCAGGCAGAUUAAUGACAAUUCUUGAGUCUUCUGGACUUGGGAAUGAUGACAUCAGCCACGGAUCACUUCUGGAUGACCCCACCCAAAAGAAGCUCUUGGGCCAGAAAGCCACACCACCACCAUCUCCACUCCUGUCAGAGUUACUGAAGAAAGGCAGUAUCUUGGCCACAAAUUCCAGACUGAUUGGGGAGGGUGACGUGUCCACCGCUAAUAUGACAGGAGUACAUGACCUGCAGCUGGCUCCGCCUAGUCAACUACUCUCUCAGGCAACAGGUGCCCCGAUGUUGUCUCGUCUCCUGGAGGCAGGUCCCACCCAGUUUUCUGCCCCGUUAGGUUUCAUGGUCAGUGCAGACUCAGCCUCCAUUACCCCUCUCUCCGCUGCCACUCCUGCUCCUGUUGACUCUACUGCCUCAGCAAGUACAGAGGUGGAUGUGAUGGUGCUGUCUGUGCACCCUGGAUGCCAUCCUGUCUCUGUAGAGGAUAAGGGGUCACAGCUCAGUGAGGAGGAUGUGACUGCGUCCUACAUAGGGGAUGAGCUGGACCUGAAGACGGUGGGGGACAUUAUCGCCAUCAUUGAGGACAAGGCAGAUGAGAGUGCAGAGGCUUUGGAUGCAGCCGCAGUUGAGGCUGCUCUGUCACUGUGUGAGGAGAACGGCCAUGCUUUGUCUGGUGCCUGGGAGUCUGGGCCUUUCCAGCACCAUGAGUCUCACCCUGCAGUGCCCACAGGGGUCCCACAGUCCUCAUCUCUUCACAGUAGCCUGGAGGGGAAGACAGAAGUGUUAGACAUUCAGGGUGGGACUUCAGCUUCACUCUCCUCUCUGUGCAACAGUCAAGAUAACUGUCUCGCAGCAUUCCCCAGGGGACUAAGGAGCCUUCCUCCCACCUCCUCAUCCUCAUGCAACUCAAAGAGUUUGGAGCACUGCCACACUGGAGCACCUCCACAGCCUGAGGCAAUGAGAGAGACUGGAGAGAGGGUGCACCAGAAUAGCCAAAUUUCAUUGGAUGUUACCAUAAAAUGUGAGAGUGAGAAGUGGGCACAGCAAAGACCUGAUAAACCCCAUGGAGACUCAGUAUUAGAAGAUAGCCCACUGACAGAAAGGCAUCCCAAGGAGAUGAAGACGGAGGAUGGAAUAAGUGUUAGGCGAGGACAGAAUGCCUCAGGGACUAAAGUGCACAUGGAGGUCAACGGGCCAGAAGUGUGUGGAGAAGAAGAGGGUGAUGGGGGAGAGGGAUUCUUGUCAGAGCCAGAUGGGGAGAUGGAGCUAGAACCUGCAGCCAGCGAGAGUGAGGAUGGAUACAGCCUCCACACGGCUUCCUCGUCUCUGCAGCUCCACACGACCGCCGACUCCAUCCCCAGCAGCCCUGCCUCAUCGCAGUUUUCUGUGUGCAGUGAGGACCUGGAAGCUUUACAGGCUCACAAGAUCUGGAAGAAAGCCAUUAUGCUGGUGUGGCGUGCAGCAGCCAAUCACAGGUAUGCAAAUGUAUUCCUGCAGCCAGUAACAGAUGAAAUUGCACCUGGGUACCACGGUAUUGUGCACAGGCCCAUGGACCUGGCCUCCAUAAAAAAGAACAUUGAGACUGGUUUGAUACGGACCACCGCUGAGUUCCAGAGGGACAUCAUGCUGAUGUUUCAGAAUGCGGUCAUGUACAACAGCCUGGAUCAUGACGUGUACCACAUGGCUCUGGAGAUGCAGCGUGAUGUCCUGGAGCAGAUCCAGCAGUUUCUAGCCACCCAGCUCAUCAUGGAGACAUCAGAGUCUGGUAUCAGCGCCAAGAGCCUGAGGGGCCGUGAGAACACACGCAAACAGGACUCUACUGACAAGGUGCUUCACUAGAAUUUUGACAAAAGCAGAGAGUACAGAAGAAGAGACAAGGGACACUGUCUCCAUGUCCUCUCCUGCCUUCCUCCUUUCUCUUUUUGAUGGAGGCACCAGAGGGCGCCGUUGUGCCAUAGAAGCUGACCUCAAGAUGAAGAAAUGAACAUGCAGUAUAAAAAAUGUAUCCGACAGUGUCCCCGAGUUGAAGUGAAAGGUGUGAUAACACAAGACUGAACUUAUUUUGUCAGUUGCACAGAUUCUCACUCUGCGUAAUGUGCAGUGUAACCUUCACUUGCACUCUACAUUGAAUAGGUAGACUAAUGUGGAGAAGCUCAUUUCUUCUGAGACAUACAGACAUGGAUUACAUUCUGUAUAAUCCCAGAUUACAAAGGGGCAUUCAGAAAGACUAGGUCAAACCUUUCAUAGACGUAGCUGCAGAUCAAUAAGAUUUAGCCUGCUUUGAAUUACAUCAGGUUGUAUAAAUGAAGAUCAAAGUUACUCUUAGCCUACAAACAGGCUGAAAUGAAGCCUACAGUGGGCCUGGUUGAACUUCAGAUUAGUGUGGUUGGUUUUACAUAUUAUAUUUCUCAAAAUCAGAGGCCAAAGAGUCUGAUUAAUCUAGAAUUUCUGAAUGAUCAGGGGGGCACAAACUAAUUUCAAACAGAAACAUUUUCAUUGCUGGUAUAAAAUCAGUUGAGUUUUUUUAUUUAGUUUUCUAAUUUUAAAAACUUUCAGAUCAUUUUUAAAUAUGGCUGUAUCGUUUGUGAUGAAUUGAUUUUUAUCUAUGCUACACUUCCUGUGAAACAGUACCUACAUGCAUAUUCGAGUCACCUUCAGUAUUUUUGAGAAAACGUCACGUUAAUAAACUGUUUUGUGGAUGUUUAAACAAUAAAACUUCAUAAAGAGCCCUCAACCCAAUAUGUUAAGCUUGAAUUUGCACAAAACUAUUUCACAAUACCAACGCAAAACACACCACAGCAGUAACCAGGGCAGUUAUUUGCUACUGUUGAAGUGCUCAUCUGCUUUCUCAAAUCUGACCGUGCUGUUUAAGAGCUGUCCAAUCAAAAACGUUCAAGCAGGGGUUGUGUGCAAAAAUCAGUGAGAAAAAUUUGUUGGCAUUUCAUAUUCUUAUUUUUUGAAAUAUAAAAGUCUGCUUUGCCUAAUUCAUGACGUUGAUGUUUAAUGUACUGUAUGUCAGUAGGAAAACCUUUCUCAGGAAUGGGUUUAAGCAGCCGAGGCCACAUGGCACGAAGCUGUUAAGAGUUAAGAGUGAGCAUUACAAGUGAAAUAAGUUACCACUGUUGUGUUUCCUAGAACUUCUCUGUUACAUAGCGAUGGGACACAUCAUCUUCCACAAAGCACCCACUCUGGUGUACGACCAAUGAAAAUGAAAGAUUUUGCAUUUGGCUUUUGUUAUGUUCAGUGUUAUAUAAACUGGCCUGAUCAAUAAAACUUAUUCGUAGUUUUUAUUGAACCAGAGCCAUCUCAUUUAUAGGAUGCCACGUUGUUGCUGUUGUGUCUUCGCUCAUUUCUGUUGAAUGUGCAAAUACAUUGUGUUCAUGUUUUCAUUAGGACCACCUCCACUGACUUUGCAAAGUGAAAGGAUAAACGAAUGUUUUUCUAUUUCUGUUAAAUUCAGACAUCUCUCAUUGGCAUCAAGCAAAGGUGUAUUAGUUUGACAGCUCAAAUGUUGACUAAAUGCUGUCAAACAGAAAAAAAGUAAGAUACUAUCUCAAGUUGUACAUCUAGUCUGUGAAAUAAGUCAAAUAUCUUACCAACUCUUAUGUUCAAGGAAUCAAUUGGACAGAUCACGUGAAGGCCACAGUGCAAAUGUACAGAAACAUUAAAGCCUUCGGGCACGCUUUACUGUA